rnacentral:tRNA from 1 species
GGGGAUAUAGCUCAGUUGGCUAGAGCGGUUGCUCCGCAAGUAACAGGCCGGGAGUUCGAUUCUCCCUAUCUCCA